rnacentral:rRNA from 1 species
UACGGAGGGUGCAAGCGUUAAUCGGAAUUACUGGGCGUAAAGCGUGCGCAGGCGGUUUGUUAAGUCUGCUGUGAAAUCCCCGAGCUCAACUUGGGAAUUGCAGUGGAUACUGGCAGGCUGGAGUAUGGUAGAGGAAGGUGGAAUUCCCGGUGUAGCAGUGAAAUGCGUAGAGAUCGGGAGGAACACCAGUGGCGAAGGCGGCCUUCUGGACCAAUACUGACGCUUAUGCACGAAAGCGUGGGGAGCGAACGGG